rnacentral:rRNA from 1 species
ACUCAAAUGAAUUGACGGGGACCCGCACAAGCAGUGGAGUAUGUGGUUUAAUUCGAAGCAACGCGAAGAACCUUACCAGGUCUUGACAUCCAACUAACGAAGCAGAGAUGCAUCAGGUGCCCUUCGGGGAAAGUUGAGACAGGUGGUGCAUGGUUGUCGUCAGCUCGUGUCGUGAGAUGUUGGGUUAAGUCCCGCAACGAGCGCAACCCUUGACUUUAGUUGCCAGCAGGUAAGGCUGGGCACUCUAGAGUGACUGCCGGUGACAAACCGGAGGAAGGUGGGGAUGACGUCAAAUCAUCAUGCCCCUUAUGACCUGGGCUACACACGUACUACAAUGGCCGGUACAACGGGAAGCGAAGCCGCGAGGUGGAGCCAAUCCCAGCAAAGCCGGUCUCAGUUCGGAUUGCAGGCUGCAACUCGCCUGCAUGAAGUCGGAAUUGCUAGUAAUCGCGGAUCAGCAUGCCGCGGUGAAUACGUUCCCGGGUCUUGCACACACCGCCCGU